GUCGUAACAAGGUCUCCGUUGGUGAACCAGCGGAGGGAUCAUUACCGAGUUUUCAACUCCCAAACCCCUGUGAACUUACCUAUAUUGCCUCGGCGGACUCAACGACGGUGCUCCGAGAAAUCGGUCGCCGCUCGCUGCCAGAGGACACCCAAACUCUAUGUAUUCCAGUGGAUCUUCUGAGUAAAACAAAACAAAUAAAUCAAAACUUUCAACAACGGAUCUCUUGGUUCUGGCAUCGAUGAAGAACGCAGCGAAAUGCGAUAAGUAAUGUGAAUUGCAGAAUUCAGUGAAUCAUCGAAUCUUUGAACGCACAUUGCGCCCGCCAGUAUUCUGGCGGGCAUGCCUGUUCGAGCGUCAUUUCAACCCUCAAGCCCCAGGGCUUGGUGUUGGGGAUCGGCGAUAGUCGCCGUCCCCUAAAUCUAGUGGCGGUCUCGCUGUAGCCUCCAUUGCGUAGUAGCUAACACCUCGCAACUGGAACGCGGCGCGGCCAAGCCGUUAAACCCCCCAACUUCUGAAUGUUGACCUCGGAUCAGGUAGGAAUACCCGCUGAACUUAAGCAUAUCAAUA
rnacentral:rRNA from 1 species